GUGACCUCAAAUCAGGUAGGACUACCCGCUGAACUUAAGCAUAUCAAUAAGCGGAGGAAAAGAAACUAACAAGGAUUCCCCUAGUAACUGCGAGUGAAGCGGGAAAAGCUCAAAUUUAAAAUCUGGCAGUCUUUACUGUCCGAGUUGUAAUCUAGAGAAGCAUUAUCCGCGUUGGACCGUGUACAAGUCUCCUGGAAUGGAGCGUCAUAGAGGGUGAGAAUCCCGUCUUUGACACGGACUGCCAAGGCUUUUGUGAUGUGCUCUCAAAGAGUCGAGUUGUUUGGGAAUGCAGCUCAAAAUGGGUGGUAAAUUCCAUCUAAAGCUAAAUAUUGGCGAGAGACCGAUAGCGAACAAGUACCGUGAGGGAAAGAUGAAAAGAACUUUGGAAAGAGAGUUAAACAGUACGUGAAAUUGCUGAAAGGGAAACGCUUGAAGUCAGUCGCGUUGAUCAGAGAUCAACCUUGCUUUUGCUUGGUGUACUUUCUGGUUUGACGGGUCAGCAUCAAUUUUGAUCAUUGGAAAAAGGUCAAGGGAAUGUGGCAUCUU
rnacentral:rRNA from 2 species